rnacentral:lncRNA from 1 species
CCAGCUUAGAAGAACAGAGCUUUGAACAAAGGUUAUUUGUCUCUGUGUGGAGAUCGUUACACCAAGAUAGAUAGAGAAAAGUGGGGGACAAAUGAUUUUUAUGUGAGGACAAGAGAGUCUUGGCUAAAAAAAUAUUUGGGAGGAAUGACACUGCACAUGGACGGGAGCACUGUCACCCAUGUUUAUUUUUGACCCACAUUGCUGCGGCUCCUCAGCCUCGUCUUCCUCUUCUCCUUUUUCUUUCUUAUUAUUGCAACCCACUUCAGAGAUCUUUGUUUUUCUGAUUAAAAAACGCCCUAAAUCUGAGUUCUGAGAUGACAACACAGUAUAAAAAGUUUCAUAACCCCUCCACUGUGCAUCCAAACAAAGACCUGUUGCAGAACAAGGUAGAAAUAAGAAAAAGAGUCAAGAGACCAGAAAAGAAACACGAGACAGUAAGCAUUAAGUUUCCUCUGUAGAAAACAAAGAAAAUUCAACAAAACUCUCUAUACUAGGCCAAUUUUAAGUCAGACUAAAAGUCAUCUUAUGGCCUAAAACAAGAAAUGAACUUGACUGUACUGAUGGGAGGGGUUCCCUGAGAACUGGAUGUCACAGAACCAGAGCUCGGCACUUACUGGGUUCAGGAAGAGCCACUACCUACCCCUCACCAGAGAGCUGACACCUCACCAAUCCUGGGAUAGUGGAACCUGAUGACCCCAGCAUGGGAGACCUGGACCUGCCCCUCAUGGGAAAGCUGGUCCCCUCACUUGGGGAAGAUGGCUCCAUUCCUUAUCCUGGGCAUGGGAGAACUGACUCCACCCUUCACCCGAGGUGAGUGGUCCCAGUGGCCUGGACCGACCAACUCAGCUACUACCCAGGCACACAUCCAAGGCUUUGAGUUGGCCCACCCUAACAUCUACCCCAUCUAUGACCUGCCGGAGCACUUGAAGGGACUGCUCCUGUGGAACCAUAACCACAGGAUCUCCAUGACUUGGGGCAACAGCAGGAUAUCCAAGAGGAGACUCAGUGAGGUUGACCAGUAUUAAUAGUGUACUAAAAACCAGAGGCCUUGAACCUGAUCAACAACACAGUCACAAAGAAUAUUUGCAAGUAGAGCUAUUUGGACAUGAAGAGGUAGGUGAUGGAGAGGCAGGAAAGACAGAGAAG